AUUCGGGUUGAUAACUAGGCGGCGAUCUCGAUCAUGAAAUCCACUCUACGACGUCCGCCCUUUAAAUGCCCGAUAGAUGAUUUUUUUUGGCGUUGAUCUUACAAGUUGCCUGUCUAUUAUUUAUCCAACCGUGGUUGGUAACAUUUAAUUCGUCGCCACAUUA
rnacentral:snoRNA from 1 species